rnacentral:rRNA from 1 species
AUUGAACGCUGGCGGCAUGCUUUACACAUGCAAGUCGAACGGUAACAGGCCGCAAGGUGCUGACGAGUGGCGAACGGGUGAGUAAUGCAUCGGAACGUGCCCAGUCGUGGGGGAUAACGCAGCGAAAGCUGCGCUAAUACCGCAUACGAUCUCUGGAUGAAAGCGGGGGACCGAAAGGCCUCGCGCGAUUGGAGCGGCCGAUGUCAGAUUAGGUAGUUGGUGGGGUAAAGGCCCACCAAGCCAACGAUCUGUAGCUGGUCUGAGAGGACGACCAGCCACACUGGGACUGAGACACGGCCCAGACGCCUACGGGAGGCAGCAGUGGGGAAUUUUGGACAAUGGGCGCAAGCCUGAUCCAGCAAUGCCGCGUGCAGGAAGAAGGCCUUCGGGUUGUAAACUGCUUUUGUACGGAACGAAACGGUCCUGGUUAAUACCUGGGGCUAAUGACGGUACCGUAAGAAUAAGCACCGGCUAACUACGUGCCAGCCGCCGCCGUAACAC